GGCUACACAUGCAGUCGAGCGAGACCUUCGGGUCUAGCGGCGGACGGGUGAGUAACGCGUGGGAACGUGCCCUUCUCUACGGAAUAGCCCCGGGAAACUGGGAGUAAUACCGUAUACGCCCUUUGGGGGAAAGAUUUAUCGGAGAAGGAUCGGCCCGCGUUGGAUUAGGUAGUUGGUGGGGUAAUGGCCCACCAAGCCGACGAUCCAUAGCUGGUUUGAGAGGAUGAUCAGCCACACUGGGACUGAGACACGGCCCAGACUCCUACGGGAGGCAGCAGUGGGGAAUCUUAGACAAUGGGGGCAACCCUGAUCUAGCCGUGCCGCGUGAGUGAUGAGGGCCUUAGGGUUGUAAAGCUCUUUCAGCUGGGAAGAUAAUGACGGUACCAGCAAAAGAAGCCCCGGCUAUCUCCGUGCCAGCACCCG
rnacentral:rRNA from 1 species